rnacentral:lncRNA from 1 species
AGGCACUGCAGACACAGCUGCUGCGGAAGGAGACAGUCAAAGCUUCCAAGGAAAGAAAUGGCCAAGAUUUGAGAGAAACCUGGCAGCGUCCCCAAGCCUGGCACGGGAUCGCCUCAGACGCACUCGGCUGCUCCGGAGGCGGAGCGCGAAGCAUCGGACCCGGCGGGCGGAGCCAGGCCAGCGGGGCGCAGCGCAACGCCUUCCGCCAGGGCGUCUGGCGCCACCUACCGGCGACCGCGCAAGCGAAACUUUCCACCGAGCGGCAGUUGCUGUGACCGCCUGGGCAUCCAAUGGCAAUUAAUUGGAACAGACUUGAUAAAUGAACUGUGGAAGGGAGCGCUGUGUUCAUGACUAGGUGCCUCCAUGGUCGUGCAUAGCAGACCGGGCGCUUUCCCACCCACCUGCUUAUGCUGCCACAGUGAACACAAAUUUACAUACCUGGAAGAAACAAGACUUUCUGAAGCAUUUGCAAAAAAUGCAGGAAAUCUGUCUGUCGUGGCUAAAACACCCCCACUGCUCCGUUUGGCAUCGUUCUCGUUCAUAUUCAAAGCAAUUGACAGUGUUUCCCCUGACUAGCUGUGGCAAUUAUCACACUGGUGGUAACUGAAAUGGCUUUUCUAAUUCUAGAACCCGGGUUCCAUGAAAUAGCAAAGAAGAAUCCCCCACUUAAGGUAUAGGAAUGUUUAGCGUUUUUAGAAUAAAACAAAACGGAAACU